CAGAACUAUCGGAAUGGCAGU
rnacentral:miRNA from 1 species